rnacentral:rRNA from 1 species
UGGGGAAUAUUGCGCAAUGGGCGAAAGCCUGACGCAGCAACGCCGCGUGCGGGAUGAAGGCCCUCGGGUUGUAAACCGCUUUCAGCAGGGACGAAAUUGACGGUACCUGCAGAAGAAGCCCCGGCCAACUACGUGCCAGCAGCCGCGGUAACACGUAGGGGGCAAGCGUUGUCCGGAUUUAUUGGGCGUAAAGAGCUCGUAGGCGGUUCGGUAAGUCGGGUGUGAAAACUCUGGGCUCAACUCAGAGACGCCACUCGAUACUGCUGUGACUAGAGUCCGGUAGGGGAGUGUGGAAUUCCCGGUGUAGCGGUGAAAUGCGCAGAUAUCGGGAGGAACACCAGCGGCGAAGGCGGCACUCUGGGCCGGUACUGACGCUGAGGAGCGAAAGCGUGGGUAGCAAACAGG